rnacentral:rRNA from 1 species
CCUACGGGGCGCAGCAGUGAGGAAUAUUGGUCAAUGGCCGGAAGGCUGAACCAGCCAAGCCGCGUGAAGGACGAAGGUGCCAAGCAUUGUAAACUUCUUUUGUCAAGGGACAAAAUCAGGCUCGAGAGCCUGACCGAGGGUACUUGAAGAAAAAGCAUCGGCUAACUCCGUGCCAGCAGCCGCGGUAAUACGGAGGAUGCGAGCGUUAUCCGGAUUUAUUGGGUUUAAAGGGUGCGCAGGCGGAAGAUCAAGUCAGCGGUAAAAUUGAGAGGCUCAACCUCUUCGAGCCGUUGAAACUGGUUUUU